rnacentral:rRNA from 1 species
GACGAACGCUGGCGGCGUGCUUAACACAUGCAAGUCGAACGGAAAGGCCAUGCUCUUGCUGGGUGCUUGAGUGGCGAACGGGGGUGUAACACGCGAGUAACCCGCCCUUGUCUUAGUUAUAACUCUAGGAAACUGGGGAGAUUACCGGAUAGGAGCUCCUGCACCACGGUGGUGGAUGGAGAGUUGCGGCGGUUGGGGCAGGACUCGAGGCUUAUCAGCUUGUUGGUCGGGUAGUGGAUUACAAAGGCUUCGACGGGUAGCCGGCCUGGGAGGGUGACCGGGCACAUUGGGACUGGGAUACGGCCCAGACUCAUACGGGAGGCAGGAGUGGAGAACAUAGCACGAAGGGCCGAAGGCUGGUGCAGCAACGCCGCGUGGGAGAAGACGGCCUUCGGGGAGUAAAACGCUUGCGAGUGUCACGACGCGUCAGGGACGGUAAUGAGUAGAGAAGCACCGGCUACCUACGU